rnacentral:rRNA from 1 species
GGUUUGAUUAUGGCUCAGAUUGAACGCUGGCAGGAUGCUUUACACAUGCAAGUCGAACGGCAGCACGGACUUCGGUCUGGUGGCGAGAGUGGCGAACGGGUGAGUAAUGUAUCGGAACGUGCCUAGUAGCGGGGGAUAACUACGCGAAAGCGUAGCUAUGCCGCAUACGCCCUUCGGGGAAAGCGGGGACCUUCGGGCCUCGCACUAUUAGAGCGGCCGAUAUCGGAUUAGCUAGUUGGUGGAGUAACGGCUCACCAAAGGCGACGAUCCGUAGCUGGUUUGAGAGGACGACCAGCCACACUGGGACUGAGACGGCCCAGACUCCUACGGGAGGCAGCAGUGGGGAAUUUUGGACAAUGGGGGAAACCCUGAUCAGCCAUCCCGCGUGUGCGAUGAAGGCCUUCGGGUUGUAAAGCACUUUUGGCAGGAAAGAAACGGCACGGGAUAUUACCCCGUGCAACUGACGGUACCUGCAGAAUAAGCACCGGCUAACUACGUGCCAGCAGCCGCGGUAUGCAGCCAGGGUGCAGGCAUCAAAUCAGAAUUACUGGUGUUAAAGCGACGCUGCGUUCAGUUCGGAAAGAAAAUAAAUCAGAACUUAACUUUGGAACUGCAUUUUUAACUUUCACCAAACUAGAAAUUGUAAUCGAAGGAGGUGGAAUUACUGAUAGCGAAAGUGAAGUGCGUAGAUAUGCGUGAACUUCGAUGGCGAAAGGCAGCCUCUGGGAUAUUUUGAACAUCACCGCACGUAACUUCGUGGGGAGCCAAACAGACUAAAUACCCUGGUGUCCACGCCCUAAACGAUGUCAAUAACUAACUGUUUGGCCUUCCAGGCAUAGUAUACACUAUUAACGUGAAGUUGUACUAAAGAUACGAUCAUAAAUUCGCUAAAAAAGAAAUUGACGGGAUGCACAGCGGUGAUGUAGUUAAUUCGGCUCGCAACGCCGAAAAAUACCUUCUUACCGGUACCAGCCUGGAAUCCCGAAGAAAUUUGGAAUUACUCUCGCAGAGCUGAACACAGGUGCUGCAUGGCUGUCGUCAAAAAAAGAAAUGCUCAUUGAUAAAUUGGAGAUCAGCGAGGAUACGUCCUGCAACGUUGGCAUACAGCCACAUUGGAUUGCUACGAAAGGGCACUCUAAUGAGACUGCCAGUGACAAACCGGAGGAAGGUGGGGACGUCAAGUCCUCAUGGCCCUUAUGGGUAGGGCUUCACACGUCAUACAAUGGUCGGGACCAGAGGGUCGCCAACCCGCGAGGGGGGCCAAUCCCAGAAACCCGAUCGUAGUCCGGAUCGCAGUCUGCAACUCGACCGCGUGAAGUCGGAAUCGCUAGUAAUCGCGGAUCAGCAUGUCGCGGUGAAUGACUCCCGGGUCUUGUACACACCGCCGUCACACCAUGGGAGUGGGUUUUACCAGAAGUAGUUAGCCCUAACCGUAAGGAGAGGCGUUACCACGGUAGGAUUCAUGACUGGGAGUGAAGUCGUAACAAGGUAA